GACGAACGCUGGCGGCGUGCUUAACACAUGCAAGUCGAACGGUGAAGCGCCUUCCUUUUUGGUGGGUGUGGAUGAGUGGCGAACGGGUGAGUAACACGUGAGUAACCUGCCCCCUUCUUCUGGAUAACCGCAUGAAAGUGUGGCUAAUACGGGAUAUUCUGGGUCUGUCGCAUGAUGGGUCUGGGAAAGAUAUUGUUUCGGUGGGGGAUGGGCUCGCGGCCUAUCAGCUUGUUGGUGGGGUGAUGGCCUACCAAGGCGGUGACGGGUAGCCGGCCUGAGAGGGUGGACGGUCAUACUGGGACUGAGACACGGCCCAGACUCCUACGGGAGGCAGCAGUGGGGAAUAUUGCACAAUGGGCGCAAGCCUGAUGCAGCGACGCCGCGUGAGGGAUGGAGGCCUUCGGGUUGUGAACCUCUUUCGCCAGUGAAGCAGGCCUGCCUCGUUUGUGGGUGGGUUGACGGUAGCUGGAUAAGAAGCGCCGGCUAACUACGUG
rnacentral:rRNA from 1 species